UGGGGCGGGUUCUUAAACGAGCCCACUAGGCCGCCCCGCAAAAUGAGCACAUGUGGCUGAUGCGGCCCAGCUGCAAGGCUUUUGCUGCUUGCUUUGUCCACGACGCUAAGCCCAACGGACACCAGCAACAACCCGCAAAGACCCGCAAGAACCCUCAAUAACCUAGCGCUCGCUACCGCCGCCGUCGCCGCCGUGGUUGACCACGACCCCGCGCUGGCGCCUCAUCCCGCACCUCGACUGCACCCUCGCUUCUACCCCUUCCGUUGGAUAGGAACGGAUCCGCCCGACUACCCCGUGCUGCCUCCCGCCGCAGGGCCAAGGAAAGAUUUUCCUUGCAGUAGUUCCUCAGUCGAAGCACCGGCAAAGAUGAGCAUCUUGAUCUGCGACUUGGAAACUAGAAACAUUUGUUUGGCAACUGCAAAUCAUUGGUGUAACUAAAGAAUGCCUUACUGCAGAUCUUGUAAUCUUUAGUGGCCAUCUUAGUUCACCCUUUUUAUUCUUGAUGAUUGAUGUACUAAUCCUAGUUUGAUUGAUGAUAGAACGAUGCAGUUGUGAUUUUUGUUUUCACUCAGUAUUUUAAUUUAUUUUCUAUCAAAUGUAAUCGAUACUCAUUGGGGAUUGAUACUAGGCAAACAAGCAGCUGGUUAGCUACCUGUCUAA